AUACGUAGGGUGCGAGCGUUAAGCGGAAUUACUGGGCGUAAAGCGUGCGCAGGCGGCUUUGCAAGACAGAUGUGAAAUCCCCGGGCUCAACCUGGGAACUGCAUUUGUGACUGCAAGGCUAGAGUACGGUAGAGGGGGAUGGAAUUCCGCGUGUAGCAGUGAAAUGCGUAGAUAUGCGGAGGAACACCAAUGGCGAAGGCAAUCCCCUGGACCUGUACUGACGCUCAUGCACGAAAGCGUGGGGAGCAAACAGGAUUAGAAACCCUAGUAGUCC
rnacentral:rRNA from 1 species